YYMMWAUUCGCCCUUAGAGUUUGAUCCUGGCUCAKAACGAACGCUGGCGGCGUGCCUAACACAUGCAAGUCGAACGGAAUGAAGGGGCUUGCUCUUUCWUUUAGUGGCGCACGGGUGAGUAACGCGUAGAUAAUCUGCCUGACGAUCUGGGAUAACACUUCGAAAGAGGUGCUAAUACCGGAUAAGCCCACGGGGUCUUUGGACUCUGCGGGAAAAGGGGGGGACCUUUUGGCCUUCUGUCGWCARAUGAGUCUGCGUACCAUUAGCUAGCUGGUAGGGUAAUGGCCUACCAAGGCWACGAUGGUUAGCUGGWCUGARAGGAUGAUCASCCMCACUGGAACUGAGACACGGUCCAGACUCCUACGGGAGGCAGYAGUGGGGAAUUUUGCGCAAUGGGCGAAAGCCUGACGCAGCAACGCCGCGUGAGUGAUGAAGGCUUUCGGGUCGUAAAGCUCUGUCGAGGGGAAAGAAGUGUAUUGCGGUUAAUACCCGCUUUACUUGACGGUACCCCUAAAGGAAGCACCGGCUAACUCCGUGCCAGCAGCCGCGGUAAUAC
rnacentral:rRNA from 1 species